rnacentral:sRNA from 1 species
GGAAUUCGGGUGACUUUGCUCCAAGAUACAUGCGUGUGUCCCGACUCUCACUUAAUUUAUAGGGGAGAGGGACUCGCCAAAUCCCUGUUUUCUGGGGGACCUACCAGGGCCAGUGGGUCGGUGGCAUGCGCCAGGGCUAUGGCGUGCGGCAGAGCGUCCCGUAUGGCAUGGCUGCGGUCAUCCGCUCACCCCUGAGGACGUCCAUCAACUCCCUGCGCAGCGAGCACACCAACGGCACGGCGCUGCAUCCCGACGCCUCUCCGGCGGUGGCCGGCAGCCCGGCCGUGUCCCGCGGGGGCUUCGUGCUCGUGGCCCACAGUGACUCCGAGAUCCUCAAGAGCAAGAAGAAGGGGCUGUUUCGGCGCUCGCUGCUGAGCGGGCUGAAGCUGCGCAAGUCGGAGUCCAAGAGCAGCCUGGCCAGCCAACGCAGCAAGCAGAGCUCCUUCCGCAGCGAGGCGGGCAUGAGCACCGUCAGCUCCACGGCCAGCGACAUCCACUCCACCAUCAGCCUGGGCGAGGCUGAGGCCGAGCUGGCGGUCAUCGAGGACGACAUCGACGCCACCACCACCGAGACCUACGUGGGCGAGUGGAAGAACGACAAACGCUCCGGCUUCGGCGUGAGCCAGCGCUCGGAUGGGCUCAAGUACGAGGGCGAGUGGGCCAGCAACCGGCGCCACGGCUACGGCUGCAUGACCUUCCCGGACGGCACCAAGGAGGAGGGCAAGUACAAGCAGAACAUUCUCGUCAGCGGCAAGCGCAAGAACCUCAUCCCCCUGCGGGCCAGCAAGAUCCGCGAGAAGGUGGACCGUGCCGUUGAGGCCGCUGAGCGGGCCGCCACCAUCGCCAAGCAGAAGGCUGAGAUCGCGGCUUCCAGGACCUCCCACUCUCGGGCAAAGGCCGAGGCAGCCCUCACGGCGGCUCAGAAAGCCCAGGAGGAGGCGCGGAUCGCCAGGAUCACUGCCAAAGAGUUCUCCCCUUCCUUCCAGCACCGGGAAAACGGGCUGGAGUACCAGAGACCGAAGCGUCAGACCUCCUGUGACGACAUCGAGGUGCUGUCCACCGGGACACCCCUGCAGCAGGAGAGCCCCGAGCUGUACCGCAAGGGCACCACCCCCUCCGACCUGACCCCCGACGACAGCCCCCUGCAGAGCUUCCCCACCAGCCCCACGGCCACCCCGCCGCCCGCGCCCGCCACCAGGAACAAGGUCGCCCACUUCUCGCGGCAGGUGUCGGUGGACGAGGAGCGGGGCGGGGACAUCCAGAUGCUCCUGGAGGGCCGGGCCGGGGACUGCGCCCGCAGCAGCUGGGGCGAGGAGCAGACCGGGGGCUCCAGGGGUGUCCGCAGCGGUGCCCUGCGCGGCGGCCUGCUCGUGGAUGACUUCCGCACCCGAGGUUCGGGCCGCAAGCAGCCCGGGAACCCCAAGCCGCGGGAGCGGCGGACGGAGUCACCCCCCGUGUUCACGUGGACUUCCCACCACCGGGCCAGCAACCACAGCCCCGGAGGCUCCAGGCUGCUGGAGCUGCAGGAGGAGAAGCUGAGCAACUACCGGAUGGAGAUGAAACCCCUGCUGAGGAUGGAGACGCACCCCCAGAAAAGACGCUACAGCAAGGGCGGCGCCUGCCGGGGCUUGGGGGACGACCACCGCCCCGAGGACCGGGGCUUCGGGGUGCAGAGACUGCGGUCCAAGGCCCAGAACAAGGAGAACUUCAGGCCGGCCUCCUCCGCGGAGCCCGCCGUGCAGAAACUGGCGAGCCUGCGGCUGGGCGGGGCCGAGCCCCGGUUGCUGCGUUGGGACUUGACCUUCUCCCCGCCCCAGAAAUCCUUGCCUGUCGCUCUAGAGUCCGACGAGGAGAAUGGGGAUGAGCUCAAGUCCAGUACGGGCUCAGCGCCUAUCCUGGUGGUCAUGGUGAUCUUGCUCAACAUCGGAGUCGCCAUUCUGUUUAUUAACUUUUUCAUCUGAUGAGAUGUCGCGGUAGCGAAAAUAGAGAAAGGGUAGAAAAAAGGGACAUUAAAAUUAAAAGCAAAACCACAAGAAGGGAAAGACCGCAACUCGGACAGCCCAGCGACUACCAAGUCCUCUCACAGAAGAACCACACGAUUGGGGUCGCUCCAUCACCCAAACAAAAGAACAAGGUUUGCCAGGAUGUCCGAGUGCCCCCUGGCCCUGGCUCUCGUGUGCAUGGACGUGCC